AACUAGUACCGAUUGGACCCCGCUUUAUUAAUAUAAAGCUAUUAAAUACGUAUUUUCAUGUCAUAAACGAUCCAAAGGGGUACCAAUUAUUUGUAAAUAUAAAUAGACCUUUCUAGAGCUUAUUUUCACCCGUAAAAUCAUUUCACCAGUUUCUUUCCACGAAUACCGAGAGAAACCGAGCGGUGUUCUUCGUGUUCUUCAUAAUCAAACGAAGAUUUGAAGGUGUUAUUGGAGUCAGAAUCAAGCGUGCAAAUAGUCAAAUCGAAGAUAUCGAAGAGUAGAACUCAAAUCAACCAUCAAAAACAACAUGAGAUUCACAGGAUUUGGACGUGACGAGUACGCUUGAAGACAUCAGAAAGUCAGAAUGGUAUUGCAAAGCGAAUAAAGAAUGAAUCGAGUAAGCGAGGUAGUGUGGCGAAUAGAGUAUAGCCAGAGAUGGUCUGGAGACUGUGAUAUGCCUAGAUUGUGAAAGUGGAAAGAUGAGAUUGAGAUGUGAGACUGGAGUCAGAUUUAAGAAAGGAUUAAAGAUGAAUGGCUAGUCUAUGAUUGCGAGUAAAGUUAAGGCUAGGCGAGGAGUCAGAGGUGUUAAGGAUCCAGUGGUCGAGAAGUGACCAGGAAGAUUGAUAAGGUUGAUGCUAGCUCGAGUUGUGCUAUUGAGAUUCAGAUGUAAGUCAUAGCUGGAAUAGUUGACAGUGAUUCUUCUUAUCGAAGAUGAUCUGAUUUGGUAAGAGAUGUUGUGUAAUAAUAGUGGUUGAUUCUAAUUUCAAUACUGUAACCUGGAAGCGAUCCUGUUGUUUUAGGGGGUUCAAAUGUUCUCUUUCAAAUCUUUUA